CAGUUCGGUCCCUAUCUGCCGUGGGCGCUGGAGAACUGAGGGGGGCUGCUCCUAGUACGAGAGGACCGGAGUGGACGCAUCACUGGUGUUCGGGUUGUCAUGCCAAUGGCACUGCCCGGUAGCUAAAUGCGGAAGAGAUAAGUGCUGAAAGCAUCUAAGCACGAAACUUGCCCCGAGAUGAGUUCUCCCUGACCCUUUAAGGGUCCUGAAGGAACGUUGAAGACGACGACGUUGAUAGGCCGGGUGUGUAAGCGCAGCGAUGCGUUGAGCUAACCGGUACUAAUGAACCGUGAGGCUUAACCUUACAACGCCGAAGCUGUU
rnacentral:rRNA from 1 species